UCUAAUUUAUUUUAUAUUUUGUGGUCCGGAAAAGUAAGAAGUGUGUGUGCGUAACUCCAAUAUCUGUACCAAAGGUGCGGAUGAACGGGACUCUCUUCAUGUGAUUAUUUUAUUCUGUUUAAUUGGAGUUUUCAGCAAAACGGUCUAUGCAAGAGGGAUCGACCAAUAAGAUGUCUUCGUUUUAGGAGCAAGUGAAGAUACAUUUUCGUGUGAAUUCAGACUCGUGCACGGCCUGAUAGAGUUAACGAUCAACUGGUGGACCAACCGCAACUUUUGCGCAUUCAAAUUACUACAAACAUGGAAGAUCCAAAUGAAACUAAGAGCGAAACAGAUAGCUCCGAAUAUAUUGUUGAGAAAAUAGUCGAUCAUAGAACUCACAAGGGAUGCGUUGAAUAUUUUGUCAAGUGGUUGAGUUACCCAGAAGCGGAUAAUACUUGGGAACUUCCCAGCGACCUGAACUGUGACCAUCUGAUCGCCGCUUAUCAUACUCAACAGAGUGUGAGGCGUCCAUCAAUUGUUGAGAAAAUAGUCAGCCAUAGAACUCUCAUGGGUAAUGUCGAAUAUCUUGUCAAGUGGUUGAAUGUCUCCGAAGAGGGUAACACUUGGGAACAACCCAGUAGCCUGGUCUGUGACCAUUUGAUCGCCGCCUAUAAUCUUCAACACGUCGUGAUCCAAGACCUGAACGAUGUGUACGAAAAAAAAGCAAAACGAUUGAAAGUUGACCCCACGCCAGUCAUUGACAAUCUUUUUAGUCGUGGCUUUGAGGCUGAACAAAUACUCAAAACUUUCAAAAACGGAGAAGAAAUAUCGUUUCUAAUAAAGUUUCGUAACCUGGAACUGCCGCAAAUGAUCAAGUCCUACGUGGCCUAUGUAGAAAUACCCGACAUGGUCUUUAAGCACUACGAAAAGACAUGCACAUUUUAUCACUUAAAUAGCAAUCAAUGAAGAGAAAGUAAAUGAAGAAGAUCAAUCGCUUGGCCACAACCCAAAUAAGCAGCGGCAAAGCUCUGAACAAGGCCUUAAUCGAAUAUUAUUUUUAUUUGAGUUCCUUUAAAGAUGUUUGUUAACAUUUGCACUUGUUUUUUAUUGCAUUAAAUUGUGCCACUUUGCGAAACAUAAUA